rnacentral:lncRNA from 1 species
ACGCUUCCUAAAUAUUUCCUUAAUAACGAUUCCAAAAUCAGAAUCGCAUAAAAAUAGAACGCUUCCUAAACGGAAUCAUAGCUUCCAAAACGCUUCCGAUUUCCUUUUUUUCGGAAUCGCGCUUCCACCACGCUUCCGGGCGCUUCCUGAAGCUUCCGAUUCCGUUUUAGCUUCCGAAGCGGGAAUCGGACUACGGACGGAGCUUCCGUGCUUCCUAGGU